UAAACAGUCCUUUUCAGGACUACAAUCUUUCAAAAACGUUUGUUCG
rfam:Agrilus planipennis Contig8087, whole genome shotgun sequence.